rnacentral:rRNA from 1 species
CCUACGGGAGGCUGCAGUGGGGAAUAUUGGACAAUGGGGGCAACCCUGAUCCAGCCAUGCCGCGUGUGUGAAGAAGGCCCUCGGGUUGUAAAGCACUUUCAGUGAGGAAGAACGCCUGGUGGUUAAUACCCAUCAGGAAAGACAUCACUCACAGAAGAAGCACCGGCUAACUCCGUGCCAGCAGCCGCGGUAAUACGGAGGGUGCGAGCGUUAAUCGGAAUUACUGGGCGUAAAGCGCGCGUAGGUGGCUUGAUAAGCCGGUUGUGAAAGCCCCGGGCUCAACCUGGGAACGGCAUCCGGAACUGUCAAGCUAGAGUGCAGGAGAGGAAGGUAGAAUUCCCGGUGUAGCGGUGAAAUGCGUAGAGAUCGGGAGGAAUACCAGUGGCGAAGGCGGCCUUCUGGACUGACACUGACACCGAGGUGCGAAAGCGUGGGUAGCAAACAGGAUUAGAUACCCGAGUAGUC